GCCGGGGUCCCCGGGUGUCCCCUUACCACGCCCUCACCUCCUGUCCGGGGAGGGUGUCGGGGUGUCAGCCACACGGCUAGCCAGGGGCCUGAAAUCAGCCAGGUCCGUCGGCUUGGGCAGGACUCCCACCCCUCUCCAGACCGCACCUCCAGGCCUGGGGGAGGGUGGUGCAUUGAGGGUCCCCAGGAAAGAACUUACCCACCUGUGGCCCCGCUGAACCUGGUGACAACAUCAGCAACUCCACCCAGGCACCGCUCAGGACAGGUGGCGCCCAGUGGGUGGGCUCAUGGGCACUCCUUAAAGGAAGGCGGUUAGUGGGCAAACUGGUCCUUGGAAGCAAAUCACUGAGGUGGGUGUGGGUUUUCUUUUUUAUUCUUCACAGCUCUUUACAUAUUACAGAUCCUAUUCUUGUGUGCAUAUUGCAAAUGUUUGUCCCGAGUUUUUUGUUCGCUUUUGACAUCUUGUGCGGAGUGUUCUGACAUCUAAAUUAUUAAUACUUGUGGGUCAAAUGAUCAGUCUUGUUUAAUUAUAUCUUUACCACCUGCAGCGUGAGCUCUAUAAAGGCAGGGACUGGCUCUGGACUUGCCCCCCCCCCCCAAUCUAGGCCAGGCCAGCAACUGCUGGAACACUUCUUCAGCCUCCAGCUGUUGGGUGAUAGCAGAUGUGCAUCCUAUACUGUGAGUUUUUAAAAAGUGCCCCCUUUUUUUUUCUUGUGAAAACUCUCCUUUCAGAGCCCAGCUGUAAAGUGGGACAUGUAAAAGAUCGGCAGUGGGGGGGCACAGACAUUGCACCCUGGUGAGCCCCCAGCAGGGAAGCCUGUGCCCGAGGCCUCCCCGCCUCCGGGGGCGGGGAGGUCAGGGGACAGUCCGUCCUGGCCAUGCUUCCAGGUCCUUCCAGCAAACCUACAUUCUGCACCUCGUCUCCAGGGCCCGGGGGCUGCAUUAGGGAUGAGCCAGCACGGCUGUCUGGUCCAAGCGGAGGAUCCAGUGCCCCUCAGCCCAAGCCCACCCGAGCUUCCAUGCGUCCCCUGGAUACAGGAGGUGCUCAGGGCACAGCACGGAAGGACAGCUCCGCCAUCAGGUGUGACCCAGGGCGCUGCUUUUCAGGUGGGGACGGUCCUGACAAAGAGCCCUUUGUCCUCAGCUUCCCCUGGCCCGGGUUGCAUUGUUCUCCCCAGAGGAGGGCACAAUGGGGCAUUGUGGAGAGCAGAAAGGCGUCCUUGUCCAGCAUCCAGCUCGCUGGGCUCCAGUCUCCCUCUCCGGGUUUACCCAGGGUGGGCGAGGCCAUCAGAGAGGUCCACUGGGAGCUCGGGUUCUUACACUUCCUCCGGGACCCGCCUUCCUGGGAGUGGACUGCAGAGGUCCGGUGAGUCCGAGGGUCCAGAACCCACCCACGCGGGAGCGGACCUUGCGGAGCGGGGCUUGGGCCGCGGAAAGCCUGGCCGGUGGCUCGGCGCUUGCCUAUGUGCACCCAAAUUGAACCAGAAGCACACGAGUCUGUAACUCAGCAGUAAGGAGGAGUGAGGUGUUGACACCUGCUACAAGAUAGAGGAACCUCACAAACAUCAUGCAAAGUGGGAGAACCAGGCGCACGGGCUACACGUCGGAUUCCAUGUACAUGACACGUUCCGGAUCAGCAAAUCCGCGGAGACAGAAAGGAGAUGGGUGGUUGUCUAGGGCUGGGGGCGGGGAGUGACGGGAAGAUUCCGGAGCCAGGCAGAGGGGACGGCUGCACACCAGCAAUGCACUAAAUGCUACAGAACUGUACACUUCAAAACGCUUGAAUGUUAUGCCAUGUGAAUUCCGUUUCAAAAAAAAAGAAGAAAAAUCUUAAAAAUACCCUAUGUUGUUCCAGAACGUCCUAGAAGGCACUGUUUUUCCCUGUUGGAAUAGGUCACGUCAUUUACACCAAACCUACCUCUUCAUCUAGAUGAGGGAGCAUCUAAGAGCUUUGACUAAUAUUUAGAUUCGGGGACAUCUUAUGCUCCAAGAAAGCACUGCACUUAAAAACAAAACCUUUUUUGUAAACCUUGAGGCAACUGCAGGGGUGGAGGCUGGUGCUGGGGAGGCAGCUCGCUGGCUUCCUCACCCCGUGGGCUCAGUGGCUGCAAACCGCAGGCCGGGGAGCUUGCGGCCAACACCAUCCAUCACUGUGUCUCACCUUCUUGUGACUCCCGCCCAGUGAUUAAAGCAGACAAUUCACUUCUGAAAAGAACGGGUGGCACUCGUGUUAGAUGACGUCCCUGAGGAGGGAGCUAGGCUCCGGCAGUGGGCAGAGGUGCUUCUGGAAGUUGCUGGCGUGGACUGAGGAGGAGCCCAAACAGAGGAACAUCAGGGGCUGGCUACCGCACGCCCAUCGGCCCCCACGGGCCCCGCGCUGAGCCCACAGCUCAGACAUGCACCGCGGACCCCUCCACAACUCACUCGAAGUCAAGGGGCCACAGGGGGCCGUCGGCAACAAGUCCUGUGACCUCGAACACCCUCCCUCCCAGAACUCCGCACCUUCUUGGGGGUCCCUCCAACCCCUUUCCACGCCCUGGGGAAACCAGCCCGAGGCCCCUCUUUUCAUGCUUUACUAGAAGGCUCAGCCCCUUGAAGGUGUGCAGCCGGGGGAGCCCCUGACCCCAGCCCGGUUGGGGAGGGGCGAAGCUCCACCACGCCUGCUCCAAGCUGGCCUCACGGACUCCCAGGAACCACCGGCUUCUUUCCACUCAGUACAAGGCUCCCGCCUCAGGGUGUCUUAAUUAAACCCUCCUUCACCAAGUUCCGAAAAAUAAAUACUUGGGAGACAGCGGAAAUCUUUUGACAGGGUGUGUUUUAAUUUGCCUUUGGCACGGGCACGUCUCUGGAACCUUCCCUGGUGGCAGAGCCAGCCAGGGCCCCUCACUCCGAAAGAGGAUUUUUUUUUUCUGUCUGAUAUUUUUAUUUCAGGCUAGCAUUUGCCUUUCUCCGUCAUAACUGAUGCGGGGCUCCGCUUCCGAGGGGUUCCCACUUGGACAUCUUGAACAGGAAGCCUCAUUAAAUCUGAAAGUUAAGUUUGGAAGGACAAGCACAGCCUACUUGGGCUCGAAGGCUGGUUUUCUGGAGUGACAGUCAUCCUCCAGAGUCCUGGCUCCCCUUCUGCACGGGGCCUGUGCACAGGGUGGGGGGUUGGGGGGGGACCGAGGUGACGGUGAAGGGCAGGGGCCCUGGGGACUGGGGGCCAGGGGGCAGGAGCCCAGAGUGCAGAAUGAGGGUGGGGUCUGGGGCCCGGGGACCCAGGGGCCUGGUACCACAGAAUGCCCGUCUGCGUGGGCAAGGAAUGGAAUGUGCUGGAGCCGCUGGGGGCCGGAAGGCUUAGGGGGUGCAAGCGUCCAGAGGAAGGCACGGGCAGAUGGCACGUCUCUAACACCUCGGCAGACUCGGUUUCCCCCGUGGAUGAUGCUGCUGGCACCUGGUGCUCACCUCUGCCCAAGGAAGACCGCAUUUGGAGCCCCUGGGACCCCGCCUGAGGAUGGUCGUGGGCUACAGAAGCAGCCUCUGCCUGCCGUCGAAGACCCACACCAAGACCCGUGGAGCCAGCCCCCCAGGCCCAGGCCGGGGAGAGGACAGAUGGAUGGGCACAGCCGGAGGCCGGGGAGAUCUCUACCGUCAGGAGGUGAGCGGAGGCCAGAGCAGGCCCACAGCUGUUCCUGACACAUCUGCGUAGCACAUGUCACUGGGCAGACAACCUUCACUGGGGCUCAGCCCUCCAUGAAGCAUUGCCCUCUCCCCCAAUUUUUUUCAAAUAAUGGCCACUGGGGCAGGGGGUCCCCUGGGCUGCCAGCAGUCACCCCGGGGCCAUGUGGGUUUUCGCACCGGGAGCCGGCAAGAAGGGGCAGAGGAAGAGCCUGGGGCACCUUCACCCCUGCCUGGAGCUUGGGAGGCGCCCCGAAGCGGCAGCGAACGCCGUGCUGGAGCGAGGUGCUCAGGACCAGCACCCUGACGGGCCGGCCAGGGGCGGAUGGGGGAGGCUGGGCGCGAUCCUCCUCCCGGGCUCCCCCGCACGCACAGACGGCCAGCUCCCUGGCAGACAUCAGCCCAGCCGGGCGGAGGGCUUCGACCCAAACCAGACCUUCCACGCCAGCUGGCAAACUAAGUCGGGGAGGGGUGUUUCCACAAAAAGCUUGGCCCCGAGCCCCGAUAGUCUGUCACCAAGGGACGCUGGACUCCUGGCGCCCCUGCGAGCCCCUCGCCUCUCUCUCGGGAGACCCAGCAGGGCAGGCUGGGGCGGUCCUGACCGAGCCGCUGCUCAGAGCUGAUUGCUCAUCUCUGGCCUGGACAUUUGGUUUCUGCGGACUAGCCAGUAAUUGAAAGCGCCAAUUAAUCUCUGACACUGAGCGGGGCUUCCCAGGACGUGAUGCCAACUGCCCGGGGCUGGCUCACUGAGGCCCAGGUAACGGCUGCAGACACACAGGGAACAGGCCGCCCCAGGCCUUCCUCUGAGGGACUGCACGGACUAUGGCCUCCCAGGCUGCCCGGGCUGAGGGCUGGGCGGAGGGUGGGCGGAGACACGGGCAGGGUGACACAGGGGUGACCGCAGGGUGCCUUCGUCCGUGGUGGCUUUCGCAGCCCUUCCUCCCCCCUCGGCUGCUCCGGUGCCCGACACACACACGCACACGGGCUUCCUGAGCUUCCCUGGAAGCCACGUGCUGGGAGCCUUGGGGGUCUCCUGGCGAACGUCCCCCUGGAGCCCUCGGGCCUGCACUGGCCAGGGCUCUUAGGCACGGGGGUUGCCAGGCUGUAUUUCUGUCUUGACAGGCGCCCUUGCAGCCUCAGCUGGGGGUGUAGGUCUAGAAUCCUCAUUACACCCCAGGGGCAGGGAUACGGUCCACCCACGGCCCACGAGGUCACCUCCCUGAGACCGCAAAGGCCACUAAGUGAAGGUCCCCAUGGGCCAGUAAGAUCGAUGGGGGCCCUCAGGCAACCCCCACUUGGGCCCUCCCUCGGAGUCCCCAACUGCACAGCGGGGACCCCCAGUGGAGGGCAGGACCUCCGAGGGGCGGCCACCACAGACCAGCAGCUGAGGGCGUUCCCUGGCAGGCGACAGAGCAAAGGGAAGCCAACCACAGGACAGGACGCCAGAACAGAGGCCACUCCCGGAGGACGCACCUCUGCCAUCAGGUGCACACCCCCCCACCAACCCUGGGCUGUUUACCUUAGACAAUGACACCCCCAAUGCCACUUUCCCAUAAGCAGAAUAUCAGGUUCUGUGAUGUGGGGCAGGGCCUCGGAGUCACCUGCAGGUGACAGGUAGUGUGGGUUAACCCCCUCUUAGGCCCUGAGAUGCCCCCACAGGGGUGCACACAUGUUUCAGAGGCAAGGCUGCAGGAUCCCUGGGCAGCCCCUGAGCCCCAGGGGCAGGCUCCUGCCCUAGACCCGCAGUGGGACCAACAGGCCACCCAGGCCCAAGUGCGAACUGAACCCACAACCCAGGCACUGGUGGGGGGGGCAGGGGUG